rnacentral:misc_RNA from 1 species
UAUCCGUAGGUGAACCUGCGGAAGGAUCAUUAUCGUAACAAAUGUGCAGCGCAUCCGAUGGCUGUCGCUAACCCAAUAGUCGUGCACGCCCGAGUGUGUCCUCUUGCCUAAUAAUCCAUCUCACCCUUUGUGCAUCGCCACGUCCGCGCCCUUCGGACUCAUCUCUGCCUGGGGCUCCCUCUUUCCCACAAACCCCCCUUUUAAAAGAUUAGAAUGACCACAUAUAUGCAAUCCAUACAACUUUCAACAACGGAUCUCUUGGCUCUCACAUCGAUGAAG